rnacentral:rRNA from 1 species
CUACGUGCCAGCAGCCGCGGUAAUACGUAGGUCCCGAGCGUUGUCCGGAUUUAUUGGGCGUAAAGCGAGCGCAGGCGGUUAGAUAAGUCUGUAGUUAAAGGCUGUGGCUUAACCAUAGUACGCUUUGGAAACUGUUUAACUUGAGUGCAAGAGGGGAGAGUGGAAUUCCACGUGUAGCGGUGAAAUGCGUAGAGAUGUGGAGGAAUACCGAAGGCGAAGGCAGCCCCUUGGGAAUGUACUGACGCUCAUGUGCGAAAGCGUGGGGAGCAAACAGGAUUAGAUACCCUGGUAGUCCACGCUGUAAACGAUGUCGAUUUGGGGGUUGAGCUUUGAGCUUGGCGCCCGUAGCUAACGUGAUAAAUCGACCGCCUGGGGAGUACGGCCGCAAGGUUAAAACUCAAAUGAAUUGACGGGGGCCCGCACAAGCGGUGGAGCAUGUGGUUUAAUUCGAUGCAACGCGAAGAACCUUACCUACUCUUGACAUCCAGAGAACAUUC